UACGUAGGGUGCGAGCGUUGUCCGGAAUUAUUGGGCGUAAAGAGCUCGUAGGCGGUUUGUUGCGUCGGCCGUGAAAACCUGCAGCUUAACUGUGGGCCUGCGGCCGAUACGGGCAGACUUGAGUUCGGUAGGGGAGACUGGAAUUCCUGGUGUAGCGGUGAAAUGCGCAGAUAUCGGGAGGAACACCAGUAGCGAAGGCGGCUCCCUGGGCCAUUCCUGACGCUGAGACGCGAAAGCGUGGGGAGCAAACAGG
rnacentral:rRNA from 1 species